ACAAGCAGAGCCAGACGGUGGUGGAAAGAGGCAGGCGGCAGAUAGGGAGUCCUGAGUGCAGAUCCUGCCACUCGCUCCUGGGCUGCUCUGGGUCACUCCUGCCCUCCGACCAGGUGCGGUCUGCUCACCUAUAAGAUGAAGGCGUUGGGUUCCCCGUCCUCACCUGUGCUCCUGUGUGGUCCCAUCCGAGGCAGUCAAACCUGAGGUUCCCCAAGCCGUUCCUCUGCCAGGAUGCCUGGGCCGUCCCGCUACCUGCCCCACCCCCCGCUGGGCGGAGCCACGCGAGCUGGGUUGUGCAGCAUGUUGGCCAAGGCACUGAUGCCUGUAGGGCCUCAGGGUCCCGGGAGAGGAACAGAGGCUGCCGGAGUCCACAUGGACAGCGCCCCCUGGCGGCCAGUUCUGCAUGGGGGGGCCAGUUCCUCCUGCCUUGGGGCUUCCUGGGCUGACCGGGAAGCAGCAGAUUCAGGUACCCACUCCCUUCUGUGAUUGCCUGGUGCCCUACAGUCACACCUGUGACGUGGGGAUAGCCCCACCCACCGGCCAGUAAACCAAUGGAGGCCCAUCCGUUACCAGGCACCACGCGGAACAUUUCCCCCCGCAGUGUGUGUCGUUCAAUCCUCACAGCAAUCGGAGGAAGGAAGGCCUACCUUAGCCCCAUUGUACAGACAAGCAAGCCGAGGCCCAGGGAGGCAAGUGGUGCACACACAGCCCCGCGUCAUGCCCAGGUCACAUGUUUCCGAGUGGGGCCCGGCUAUGCCGGACCACAGUGCUGUAUCCACUCCCCCCUGGUCUCUGCCUGAACUAUGACGGGGCCCAGCAGGCCUUGCCCACCCAGGAGCCAGGGUGUGGUGUUGUGGGGUCCCUGGGCACUGUGGGCAUCCUGACCAUGUGUGUCCACCACUCAGGAGCCGGUUGCCCACACUCCUGCCGGUGCCCAGUUGACAUUCCUACAGGUCUCCAUUUCCCCCUCAUCCGGGGACUUCCUGGAAUCUUGCACAGUUGGGUCAGGCUUUUGCUGCCUGCCUGCCUCCAUUUCUCUGUUCUUUCUGGGGGUUCCCUCUGCCUGGGUGGCGGCUGAGGAAAGAUGGUAAUUCUGGUUUAUAUAUUUUUAUAGUUGGUAGCUAAUUCCCUAAAA
rnacentral:lncRNA from 1 species